GACGAACGCUGGCGGCGUGCUUAACACAUGCAAGUCGAACGGAAAGGCCCUGCUUUUGUGGGGUGCUCGAGUGGCGAACGGGUGAGUAACACGUGAGUAACCUGCCCUUGACUUUGGGAUAACUUCAGGAAACUGGGGCUAAUACCGGAUAGGAGCUCCUGCUGCAUGGUGGGGGUUGGAAAGUUUCGGCGGUUGGGGAUGGACUCGCGGCUUAUCAGCUUGUUGGUGGGGUAGUGGCUUACCAAGGCUUUGACGGGUAGCCGGCCUGAGAGGGGGACCGGCCACAUUGGGUCUGAGAUACGGCCCAGACUCCUACGGGAGGCAGCAGUGGGGAAUAUUGCACAAUGGGCGGAAGCCUAAUGCAGCAACCCCGGGUGCGGGAGGACGGCCUUCGGGUUGUAACCCACUUUCGCCUGGGACGAACCGUGAGUGACGGUAAUGGGUAAAGAAGCACCGGCUAACUACGGG
rnacentral:rRNA from 1 species